rnacentral:lncRNA from 12 species
AUGUGCCAAAGAACAUGCCUUCAUCCAAUUCCUUCCCUUUCCUGUCGCUCUGCUCAGACCCGCCCGACGUCCCCGGGUUGCCUCCGCGAGAUCGACAUGCAUCGAAAUCUUCACUUCCACGGCCUGCUUCCGGGGGAAUCCACACUAAGAUACCUGAGGGGGUGCCUGAAAAAGGCACAUGUUGUGUGUGCUGUAGACGAUCCGAAGGCCCUGUGGGCCCCUGCUCCAGUAGGGAGCACCCCAAGUGCUCUCCACGGUCACCAACGCUCUCCAAGGAAGGCGCACCAGGCUGGAUGGGAGGACACGGGCUCUGCCCACUGGCCGAGCAGGCGGCGGCCCACCAAUGUCAGGCAGGAAUCCCUCAGGGCGACAAGUGCCAUAUCCGACCAAGUAUUGGUCAGACAUGAGACGACAAAGGGUAAAACCUGUACCCAGUGGCUUCCAGGGCCUUCCUCGCGCACACCCCAUGAAGCCCUUCCCCUCUGCAUGGGGCUGAGCGUUGUGAACGGAACAGCAGUCUCCUAAAGAGCUUCGUUAAAAAACAGAAAAAAGAAAAACUGGCCCAAUAAUGGCGAUAAUUGCCUUCCACAGAUCACCGUAAGAUUGCUUAAAUGUAAGGUGUAGGAUUUUAAAUCUCAUAUUUUACUUCAUAUUUUGGAUCAGUUCUAAUCCUUCAUAUCAGAGCUUCACCCUUUUAGCGAAGAGGAGAGUGUAAAGGUCACUCUGUUCCAUGUCCUACGUGUCUUUGGUGUUUCUGCUUUGGGCCCUCAGCCUCCACUUGGCCACUAGCCCCGUGAGGGAAACUGCCAUCGUCCUGGCCACCAACUCAUUCAACCAUCAGAUGAACCCCGGGACUGGCUGGCUUUGGAGCGCCCUACCGCCCUGGGAUCGACUUCCAUAUCUGUUGUAUUUCUGAUCGAAACUUUACUACUUGAAAGAUGACGUGGCAUCUGCUGGGCUUUGUUUUGUACGUUACCAAGGGUGCUGCUCUGCUGUGCUACGUGCUCCCAAAGAAACUGUCCCCAAAACAUCCACAUUCAUAGGAGCCUGAAGCUGCAAGGACAUUCAGUAACAACCUUCACCUCCCCAAGAUAAUCCCAAUAGACCUUUUCCACAUUAAUGGAAAACACUGCCGUGUGAGUAUGUCGCCUUCAACAAUUUGCACAUAUUCCAAUAUCCAAGCUUUGACCUUUCAUCACAAACUUUGUUUUUUUUUGUUUUUGUUUUUGUUUUUUUUUCAUCACAAACUUUGAAGUUCGCAGUCAACAAGUUUGUUCUUGUGUCUCCUUCAGGUAAUUUCAUAAGGCAGCGAAUAGACCCUUCUCUUGAUCCGGGGAUAUAAGCUGAGCUCCAAGACAGCAUCUAGGGCACCGAGAAAGACCAGAAGAGAGUCACCGCUGCGAUGAGGAGGUCAGGUGAGGAGCAGAGGGAUGUUUUCCUGGUUAUUCUCAUUUGAUCAUUGUCUAAUUGGCUCCGUCAGCAUUUUCUCCACUGUGUUCUGUAGAACUUGGUGAUUCCUCAACUUAUUUUUUCUAGAUGUUAACAGAUAUUUCAUGAAAAAAAGAAUUCUGUUGUUUAUUUUGAAACAAACAGGCAGCUGUAUCCUCACAUGGAGGCAAAUGUCCUGGGCAUAUUAAAAGCAUUGGAAAGUCCUGCAGGAAAGAAAUCUGUCUAAUCCACUGGUUGACCACACAACCUCUUCCCCUCUGUACUCAUGGAACACAUACUCCAUGGAAUACUGCAUAGGGACCCUGGCCCGCAUCUUUGUUAAAAAACAAAUUGUGAUGGCUAGACUAAAGAGAAUAUAGCAGGUGGAACCGAACCGGUAAAGAGGAGAGUGGAUUAUUCCAGACAUAAUUCUAUGAAUGAAAUAAAAUAACAUAUUCACUUUUUCA